UACGUAGGGGGCAAGCGUUGUCCGGAAUCAUUGGGCGUAAAGCGCGCGUAGGCGGCCAGAUAAGUCCGGUGUGAAAGUCACAGGCUCAACCUGUGAAUGCCGCUGGAAACUGUCUGGCUUGAGUCCGGAAGGGGCGAGUGGAAUUCCUGGUGUAGCGGUGAAAUGCGCAGAUAUCAGGAAGAACACCCGUGGCGAAGGCGGCUCUCUGGGACGGUACUGACGCUGAGACGCGAAAGCGUGGGGAGCGAACAGG
rnacentral:rRNA from 1 species